rnacentral:rRNA from 1 species
GACGUAGGGUGCAAGCGUUGUCCGGAUUUACUGGGCGUAAAGCGCGCGUAGGCGGCUCGUUAAGUGUGAAGUGAAAUCCCUGGGCUCAACUCAGGAACUGCUUUACAUACUGGCGAGCUUGAGGGAUGCAGAGGUCUGUGGAAUUCCUGGUGUAAUGGUGAAAUGUGUUGAUAUCAGGAGGAACACCCAUGGCGAAGGCAGCAGACUGGGCAUCGCCUGACGCUGAGGUGCGAAAGCGUGGGUAGCGAACAGG